rnacentral:rRNA from 1 species
CCCGGUGAUUCGUUUAACGGCCGCAAUUAGUAGUUGUGCUAAGGUAGCGUAGUAAGUUGCCCUUUAAAUGAGGGAAGGAAUGAAUGGUUUGACGUAGGAAGAACUGUCUCUUUUUUAUAUGAUGAAUUUUUUUUUCUGGUGAAAAGGCUAGAUAAUUUUAAUUAGACGAGAAGACCCUAUCGAGCUUAAUAAGGGGGAUAAAUUGUUUUUCUUAUAAAUUUAGUUGGGGCAACAGGAGAACAGGAAGAGAUUCUCCUUAAGGGUAAAGAUCCAAAAUUUUUGAUUGAAGGAAAAAGCUACCGUAGGGAUAACAGCGUUAUCUUCUCUGAGAGAACAAAUUGAAGGGAAG